rnacentral:rRNA from 1 species
UACGGGGGGGGCAAGCGUUGUUCGGAAUUACUGGGCGUAAAGGGUUCGUAGGUGGCCAACUAAGUCAGACGUGAAAUCCCUCAGCUUAACUGGAGAACUGCGUCUGAGACUGGAUGGCUUGAGUGCAGGAGAGGAACGCGGAAUUCCGGGUGUAGUGGUGAAAUGCGUAGAGAUCCGGAGGAACCCCAGAGGCGAAGGCGGCGCCCUAGCUCGGUUCUGACGCUCAGACACGAAAGCAUGGGGAGCGAACGGG